UACAGAGGUGGCAAGCGUUGUUCGGAAUUACUGGGCGUAAAGGGCGCGUAGGCGGCCAUCUAAGUCAGACGUGAAAUCCCCAGGCUCAACCUGGGAACUGCGUCCGAUACUGGAUGGCUUGAAUUCGGGAGAGGAGAGUGGAAUUCCUGGUGUAGCGGUGAAAUGCGCAGAUAUCAGGAAGAACACCCGUGGCGAAAGCGGCUCUCUGGAACGGUACUGACGCUGAGGAGCGAAAGUGUGGGGAGCGAACAGG
rnacentral:rRNA from 1 species